GAGGAUAGGGAAACACAAAAGUGCUAACUUCAGCACUUUUUCGCUAAAAACAAAUUUCUAAUAUUUGAAAACGCACUGCAGCCUGAAAGGAGAGGCAAAAUCAGAAUCACAGUGUGGAUCCCAGGGACAGAAGUUAUUGCAACAAGUCCUGAAAUAAGCCUUGUGGUUUUUCUUGACAUUGGUUUGGUUCCCUCACUGCUCAAGUGGGCUGAAGGAUUCUCUUAUUCAUAUCUGCAGAGUCCCAGUGCUUCCAGGGAAUAAAUAGUUUAAGAAGGUAACGCCACUGUCUGUGCCAGCAUCCCAGGGAAUUAAAUCCUGAACGACUUUCUGAACCCAGCCGCAGUCCUUGGUACAGAGGUCUUCGGCAGACAGACCCACAUUCCAGUCUGGGCUGGGGCCGAGCAUGGUGAGGAAGGACAUCAGGUGCCGGUGACGAUCGACAGAAAACUCAGCAGAGGGAGCAGCUCUCCUGCAAAUUGGGCAUAGGAAGACUUAACAACUGAAUUCAGGUUUGCUACUAGAGGGCAACGAAGGUGGUGCUUCAGGCUGGGAAAUACUGAACACUGGCAUGACCCUGUGUCUGGUAUGUAGCGAUGGAGAAGCAGGACAUGGAGAGGACUGCUGUUCAGCACUCUCUAGUUUCAGUCUCUGUGUACCGUCUGAGAAACAGCUUUGAUAUCGUUCAAGGAGAUUUACGGUUUAAUGGGUGAGAGAGAAGUAGCAAUAAAGAGCUGCAGCAGCAUGCUUACGUCUUAUGUCUUGAAGUAAAAUACCAGAGAAAUACCCUGAGGUUUUGAUUGCCGGGAUACUUUUUACCGUGCAAAAGAUAACACAAAUUCCAAUGCCAAAAGUGCUUGGAAGUGCUACUGUGUGUAUGUGUGUGAAAAAGGACUCAUUAAUAGAGUUUUAGUGCUCAUGUAAGUGCGAGAUUAAUGGCCAUUGCCAGCCCUAGAGAGUUCAGCCAAGACUUUUGCAGGUUUCUGCCAGUGUAUGUGAAAACGCCUCUAUUCAUCCAGCCUUUGUCAGCCGUUCCCUUAGGAAGAAAUCGUGCUGAAUCAUGCAGUGCUCUGCGGUGCUGAUGAGAAGCUAUCACAUUCCUAUGCAAAUGGAAAAUAAAAUCAGGCCUGAACUGGAGAUUUCUGUUCACAGAUGAAAAGCUGGACCUCUUCAUGGCUUCUUUCUCAUGAGCAACAACAAAUGCAGAGUUAUUUAAAAUACGAUUUUGGCAAUUCUGCUCUACCAAAUACUGAUCUGAUGUCAACCCAAGUUUUCUUCAGUUACAGGACCUGGGUCAAUACAGAGUCAAGUUGGGUGGAUUUUUUUCAAUUCUAUGCCAAAACACACUGUUUUAUGAGCAUCUAAAGACCAUGUUUAUUUUUAAUGUAAGGUUUUUUUACAGUGUUAUUCAUCUUCCCUUUUUGAGUUAAGUAGCUACAUAUAUAUAUAUAUAUAAUGCACACACACUGUUCUUCUCUAGUCAUAAGGAGUUUAUUCUUCCUAUAAAUGCUUGUGUCCCUGUAAAAAAGUGGCAUUUCAUUUGUGUAUUUUUUCUGGCUCAUAGCACUCUCAGCACAUUAGAAAAAACAGAACAGCCUAAAGACAAUGAUUUUGAGUAGUUAUCACGCAGUUUUGAAUGUAAGAUGUCUAAAAGUUAGUGUAUCUAGUUCCCCUUCAAGAGGCAAGCUGCAGAAGAAGGCAUUUGCUAAUGCGUAAAAUGUUCUGGCCACUUCUGUUCCGGAAUCUUUAGAAGUUAUUUCUUAUUGUGUAAAUUAUCU